GGGCAGGGUGGGCUUCGCGGCCCGCUUUCUCUCUCCGCGCUCCGUGUGGGGCUCGCUGGGCGGGCGCUCGCCUUCUCGCACUGCCCGGAUCGCUGAAUCCUCCGCUCGGAAAGGUGCCGAGAUCGCGCAGACCGAGGCUCAGCAGCCCAGCUCGCGCGUCGGGAGCAGGCCUGUGGGCCGCACGGGUGAAGUGCAAAAACAGCAAACAGCCGAAGACACACUCCCGUCCCUCCCCACACGGGCACGAAAUGAAAGAAUUCCUAGAGAAAUUCUGAAAGCAGUGAGGGCCUUCGAAGGCGCUGGAUGGUGACUUCAGGCUGGAAGCUGUUUUUUUCUUCAGACUCUUGCUUAAAGAAAGGUCUGAACUGUUUAAUCUUCUUUGGACAUCUCAUCAGAGGUUUAACUACGCAUGCCACCAGAGGGAUGUUAAGGCCUCAUGUUUCAGGAGAGAGGAAGCCCCACUGAUCAGUCCCGAUGCCUGUUUGGCAGGAUUGUGCCUGGUGCGCUUGCCAAAAUUUUGGUGAGGAUUUUGCUGUCAAGAGGAAGAGGUGAUGCAGGCUUAAGUGAAGAGCGUGAUCUAAAGUCUUUGUGUUGAAGGAUUAGAACAUCUCCC
rnacentral:lncRNA from 1 species